CCCAGUGUACACGUGACGUCACAGAGGGUCAUUGACGUCACAGUGAAGCGUUCUACAGGUGGAGUUCAGCGUCGAGCCGCACAACUAAUCUGAUCUAGUGUGGGUCAGUUCAGCGAGAAUCCGAGCAGAAGCAAAGAUCAUCCCGUAAGAAAACACUCGAGUCGAUUGCUGAUUUUCCAGCGUUUCUCCAGCUCGGGAGUCAGUGGAGCUCAGCUCUAGUGUUCAGUGUUAGUAGAUGAGACACUGACAGCUGGAGGAAACACCGAUCCUUCAGGAGCAAACCCAGAGGCUUCUCCUGCAGCAGAAGCAGCUAUGGAGAACAACCCAACAGAAAAAGCAUCAAAACACAAGAAUAGAUUUUGUGCAUUCUUCAAAAAGACAUGGCAUGCUGUGAAAAGCGGAGACAAGUGUCGACGUCGAGGCAACAGUGUGGUCCUUCAUCAGUCUGUGUCCGACACAGAUUCAGCUGAUCCUCAGUGUGGUCCGUCCGGCCUCGAACCAGCGGCACAUUGGCAUCUAGCUGAUCCACAGCCAGGCCCGUCCGGCCUUGAGCCAACAGCCCUACAGGAGCAAACUGAUCCUCCACCGCGUCCAUCCAGCGUCACACCGGUGAACUGUGAUGAAGAACCAGCUGAUCCUGAGCCAGCUGAAG